UAAUGCGUACGGAACGUGGCAUUUGAACAUAGAAAUCGUACGCGAAAUAGAACAGUGGCUCAUAGUGCAGCCCUGUUUUCUUUCUUCUCUUAAAUGGGCAUUAUUGUAGUGUACAAGUGUUCCACUUAACUGCCGAAAUAAUGAGGAAUUGCCGGAUAUGGAAGUGGUAGUGGAAUCGCGUGAGCCACCAUCGUUGCUGACUCGCUAAAGGAGGGUAUAAUCGACCACUCCCCCUUAGCCCUUGCUGCUGCUUUGAGACACACUUCAACAUGGCGAUGGGUCUCGGGAACGCGCAAACGAAGGCGGAAUGGUCUUUUCCUGCAACUCUUACCUUCUGCUGUGCUGAAGACCAGCAAGGAACAGAGAGACCAGUUUUCUGCUUCCUGUGUGGACACACCAGUCAGCUGAGCUAGAGCACAGAUGAUGGGCUACACAAAACAAACGAAAAUACAUUAUGAAACACUGUUGUACUAAAAUCAUGUAAGGUUGUCAUUGUAUUUCAAUAAAAGAACUAAUAGGCCAUUAAAAGCAAAUAUAGUACAAGA